rnacentral:lncRNA from 1 species
AAAGCCAAAGCUCCUGCCAAAGAAAUGUGUGGAGCAGAAAAGAAAACCCAGAGCAGAAUGUCAAGAGCAAGGAUGUGUUGGGACAGGAAAUGAAGACGAGAUUGAGAGAGGUCAUGCAGAAUCAGGUCACAUUCCGGAGGGAAGAAGGAGCAAAGGCACAUGAUGAGUGAGUGCUAAUUAAGGUGGCCAAAGAGAACAGCGUGGUGCUGUAAAUGCCGGCAGAGCAAGGAGCCCUGCUGCCAGCCUGACCUAACACAGGCACGUUGAUGAAAAUGGAAAAGGAUGGCUGGAGGCCUCCAGUUGCAAAGCUCUCCAUUGUCAGAUUACGCUGCCCGAUGGGCAUGAAAAGUCCACAAAAGAGAAUUUUCUGAUGUGAGAAUGGAGGGUGUUGCCUGCAACUACCCCAGAUCCCUGCGGUGGCAGUUUAAGCCGCCUCCUGGAACAGAUUGUUAAGCUGAUGCGAGUCUGGGCUCUGCCUCACCACUUGUCUCAGAGACAGAGUCUUGCUCUGUCACCUAGGCUGGAGUGCAGUGGUGCCAUCACAGCUCACUGCAGCCUUGACCUCCCCGUGCUCAAGUGAUCCUCACACCUCAGCCUCCCGAGUAGCCGGGAUCACAAGAAAGACCUGAUGUCAUACGGAAGCCAAGAAGAAACUGUUUGAGGAGAAACCUUUUGUCCAAUUUGUAGGGAAAGCAGAGAGACAGAGAGACAGAGAGAGCUUCAGCUUGGUUUCAAAACAAGGAUGGAAAUACAGAACAACUUAAGUUACCAGCACACUUCAUAACAAUUAAAAAUCAUUUUGCUUCUUCCUUCUGCCAGCAUAAUUUUGGGCUCACAGGUGGAUUGACCUGACCUCCAGGAAAUGUGUGACAAGGACUCGCCCCUCACCUCCUCAGUUACAGCACAUGUUUGGUGUUUAUGUGAAGCUGGUGGCUUUCAGUAUCACGGUGAAAAUUUUCUUUUAGGUCAUAAUUGCGUAACUACAAUGAAAAGUAUUGAUUUUGGAAAAGGCUCAUCUUUCCAAAGAGGUUCACGUCAGGAGGUGAAUUAAUGUGCUCCAGGG